rnacentral:rRNA from 1 species
GAUUAAGUUAUUAAGGGCGCACGGUGGAUGCCUUGGCACUAGAAGCCGACGAAGGACGUUACUAACGACGAUAUGCUUUGGGGAGCUGUAAGUAAGCUUUGAUCCAGAGAUUUCCGAAUGGGGAAACCCAGCACGAGUUAUGUCGUGUUAUCUGCAUGUGAAUACAUAGCAUGCAAGAAGGCAGACCCGGAGAACUGAAACAUCUUAGUACCCGGAGGAAGAGAAAGAAAAAUCGAUUCCCUGAGUAGCGGCGAGCGAAACGGGAAGAGCCCAAACCAAUAAGCUUGCUUAUUGGGGUUGUAGGACACUCUGCACGGAGUUACAAAAGAAUU